rnacentral:rRNA from 1 species
UACGUAGGGUGCGAGCGUUAAUCGGAAUUACUGGGCGUAAAGCGUGCGCAGGCGGCCGAGCAAGUCGAGUGUGAAAGCCCCGGGCUUAACUUGGGAAUUGCGCUCGAAACUACUUUGCUGGAGUGUGGCAGAGGAAGGUGGAAUUCCACGUGUAGCGGUGAAAUGCGUAGAGAUGUGGAGGAACACCAAUGGCGAAGGCAGCCUUCUGGGCCAACACUGACGCUCAUGCACGAAAGCGUGGGGAGCAAACAGG